CAGGCAAUAAUUUAAAUACUAAAAUUUUGACUUUGGGUGUCAGCUAUAAGGAUUAGUAAACCUUUUGCCUGA
rnacentral:tRNA from 1 species